CAAAGUACUGGAACUCUUAUCCAGUUUUUAAAUUAUGUUUUUUACUGUAAUAUUUUUAUGUCACUGUUUUCUGCACAUUAAUAAUAUUUGUGAAUUUACAGCUCCCAGAGUAGUUGUUGUUAACUUCUGCCCUCCUUAAAUUAGUAACAAUAACUUACUACUGCCACAGUUGAUCUGGGUGCAGUGGGGUCUGUUUUGCACAGAGCUUCCAUGGUCACUGCUAAGCACUAGCCUGCCCUCUAGCAUUAAUUGACCAUCUACUAUAUUCUGAGCACACAUACUUAGAAAUUAUGUUAAUCUUAGUGCUCAACUCUUGGAGAGAUAAAUCUCUAUUGGACUUUUAAGUAAGAAAGGAAAAGAAAAUAAAAAUACCUAUAAAUGAGCCUGGGUGUCCUAUGAAAAAUAAUAAUUCAUAAUUUAAGGAAAUUCUUAUCUUAGUAGUAUGAAUGUUGAUAAACUAUUCUAAACUUAUCUCCUAUAUUUGUGUCCUUCUGAUUACUAAAGUCUAUUUAAGAAAUCAUUUUUCUAUGGAGUUUUUAUUUUAAAUAAAACAAAAGCUUCAUGAAUCAUUGACUAUAAAACUAUGGUAUGGGGGUCAUCUUGGAUCUAAUGUUUUUAGCUUUGUUAAUGCUUUUCAUCAUUACAAAGCACAAUUACUCCUUCUAUUAACCCUUUCAUCACAAGACCAGAGGAGAACUGACCCCAGAUAAGAUUUGAAUUUCAAUUCAAGAAUGAGCUUUAGGUAGAUGAGGGACAGCCCCAUUAUCAAGGGGCCAUUCUCUUGCCAAUGCAGCAUCUUUUUGCACUUUUGGAUUUCAUAUUUAUGCUAAAUGAUGUUUGGUACCCCUAGAAACUUCUAGAUAACUUUUGUUCUAUUUACAUUACUGUAUUUGCUACUGAACAUUUUCAAAUGCUAAAAAUCUAAAGCAACUCAAAUCAAAAUGAUAUCUCAUCCUAAGACAAUUUUGUUUCAAGAGUUCUUUUUUGUUUGUUUGUUUUAUGAUCCAGAAGAUGCCCAGUACAGAAUAUUUGAGAGAGAAGGAGAAACAUACAUUGGAGAGCAAGGAGAAAUCACUCUCUAAUAUUAAAAACUAAAGUAUCCAAUGUUAAAAAGAAAUCUCAAAGGUUUUAGAUAUAUGGUAUAAAGACCUUCUGCACCCAAUUAAACAAACAAACAAACAAAAAGACAUGAUAUAUAGAGUGUCCAAUUACAUAAU
rnacentral:lncRNA from 1 species